CUGGGUUUAGUUUCUUCCCUGAUAGUGUCGUAUUGGUAACUUACCUUCUUCUGAUUAAGGUUCCAACCAAGUACAACCAGGAUUCUCGACUAAAGACACCUUACUGUACUCUUGGCAAAUUAUACUGGGGAGGCAAGUUGGUGGCUGGAGGUACAUCAAAAGGGCUCAUUCAGGAAGUGGGGUGCCGCUUGAUUUGGCAGAGGAUCAUAAAACUGUAGAUUUAGGCCAAUGAAAAUACAUGAUCAAAAGACUAUAAAUAAGAUCUGGAAUAUAGUAUUUGAGCUGCCCAAGCGAGCACUAGAAUCUGGACUGUAAAGAACAUAUUUUAUUAGUUGGCUUGUGGAACAGGAAGGAAGAUACUCAACUCAAGUCUGAAUGUCACAUUCCUAUCAAAGGACUGUGGUACAAGACACUUGCCAGCACUGAAAAUUCAACCUUCUCUGAAGUUCUGCUAGUAGUACAACUCAUUGGUCAGCUGAGCAGCGUGAAGCUCCUUGGCUGUACUCCGGUUCCUGCC
ensembl:lncRNA